AUUGAACGCUGGCGGCAUGCUUUACACAUGCAAGUCGAACGGUAACAGGCCGCAAGGUGCUGACGAGUGGCGAACGGGUGAGUAAUGCAUCGGAACGUGCCCAGUCGUGGGGGAUAACUACUCGAAAGAGUAGCUAAUACCGCAUACGAUCUAUGGAUGAAAGCGGGGGACCGUAAGGCCUCGCGCGAUUGGAGCGGCCGAUGUCAGAGUAGGUAGUUGGUGGGGUAAAGGCUCACCAAGCCAACGAUCUGUAGCUGGUCUGAGAGGAGGACCAGCCACACUGGGACGGAGACACGGCCCAGACUCCUACGGGAGGCAGCAGUGGGGAAUUUUGGACAAUGGGCGCAAGCCUGAUCCAGCAAUGCCGCGUGCAGGAGGAAGGCCUUCGGGUUGUAAACUGCUUUUGUACGGAACGAAACGGCUCUGGUUAAUACCCGGGGCUAAUGACGGUACCGGAAGAAUAAGCACCGGCUAACUACGUG
rnacentral:rRNA from 1 species